GCCUUCGUAGUGAAAUGGUAGCACACUCGGCGCGUAUUCGAGACGUGCAGGUUCGAGUCCCGUCGAGGGCA
rnacentral:tRNA from 1 species